GCCGGGCACAGUGGCGAAUGCCUGUAAUCCCAGCAUCUAGGGAGGCUGAUUCAGGAGAGAGUUCAAAGCCAGCCUCAGCAAAAGUGAGGCACUAAGCAACUCAGUGGGACCCUGUCUCUA
rnacentral:sRNA from 1 species